rnacentral:rRNA from 1 species
ACUCCUGCGGGAGGCAGCAGUGGGGAAUAUUGCACAAUGGGCGCAAGCCUGAUGCAGCCAUGCCGCGUGUAUGAAGAAGGCCUUCGGGUUGUAAAGUACUUUCAGCGGGGAGGAAGGCAAUACGGUUAAUAACCGUGUUGAUUGACGUUACCCGCAGAAGAAGCACCGGCUAACUCCGUGCCAGCAGCCGCGGUAAUACGGAGGGUGCAAGCGUUAAUCGGAAUUACUGGGCGUAAAGCGCACGCAGGCGGUCUGUCAAGUCGGAUGUGAAAUCCCCGGGCUCAACCUGGGAACUGCAUUCGAAACUGGCAGGCUUGAGUCUUGUAGAGGGGGGUAGAAUUCCAGGUGUAGCGGUGAAAUGCGUAGAGAUCUGGAGGAAUACCGGUGGCGAAGGCGGCCCCCUGGACAAAGACUGACGCUCAGGUGCGAAAGCGUGGGGAGCAAACAGGAUUAGAUACCCUAGUAGUCCCAU